rnacentral:lncRNA from 1 species
CCCGGCGCCCCGCGCCGAGCAGGGUCUUGGGCUGUGGUUGUUUGUCUCCUGGGUUCCACCGGGGUCUCGGCCUGGAGCCCCGGUGCCUCCUGCAGACCCCUGCGCACCUCUGGCAGCCAGAAAACCGUCAGCUGCUUACAAAUUAAGUAUUUACUUUCUCCAAGCUAGUGCUGGGCAACCAUGGAAACACUAAGCUCUCUCCUGGGCUUUUUCUUCUGGGAGCUCAAGCCAGCUGGGGAGUGAUGUUAGGGGCUUUAAAUAUUAGGACUUAGAAGAUCCAUGAGAGGUAAUAAAUAAUAAACAUUAAACAUUUUCUGAAUGCCUGAACCUUUAAAGAAUGAUCUCAAUUUCAGUGAGUCGGAGAGCAUCCCAGACUGAGGAAAUAAGGAGGCCAGAAGAAGACUGGAGCCUGGCUUGGAGCCCACUUGUUUAUAAAAAAAACCAUGGUUGGAAAAGUAACCAAGGGGCAGGUUGCAAUGAGCCCAAAAAUGCCAGUAGGGAGUUGGGAUCCUCCUCAUCUUGCAGGAUGGAUUAAAAGGCCGAGAGCAUAUGGAGAGAGGGAAACAUUUGGAGGCUAGGGCAGGCUAGGGUUGCAGAUUGAGGCCCAGUUUGGGACUUUUUGCCUCCUAGAUCUGUAGCUCUAAGGCUGGCUGCAAACAGGAGUCCUUGCAAUGGACUCAGCUGGGCUCCCUGGCCUCGCUGAACAGAAGGAUGGAGGCCAGAGUGUCAAAGCAGUUCAUUAUGCAAGCCGCUGCUGCCCAGCCCCACCAGCUGGCAUCACGCAGGCAUUCGCUCAUUCAGCACUUACCAUCACCUACAAUGGCACCCAGGCUCUGGGCUUUAUUCAGCCCCCAAGGCUGCAUGCACUUGCUGUGCCUUUUGAAAGUGCUGAUUCUCAGCCUCUUCUCCCUCAGAGGCAGGAUGCAGUAUCUACAUCACCGCCCUCAUUCUAGCCUCCCAGCUACCAAGGCUGAGGUUUGGAGCUACGGCGUAAAACACCAGCUGGCAUUCGCUCAUUCAGCACUUACCAUCACCUACAAUGGCACCCAGGCUCUGGGCUUUAUUCAGCCCCCAAGGCUGCAUGCACUUGCUGUGCCUUUUGAAAGUGCUGAUUCUCAGCCUCUUCUCCCUCAGAGGCAGGAUGCAGUAUCUACAUCACCGCCCUCAUUCUAGCCUCCCAGCUACCAAGGCUGAGGUUUGGAGCUACGGCGUAAAACACCAGCUGGUAGGCUGGGCACCAAGCAUCGGCAACACACAGGGUGAAGAACUUGCCUUUUCUGUAAGGCAUGAGGACUGGAGCUGUUCCUGGCUGUGUCCCUGGCAGGAAGAAGAGGGAGGACAUGUCCACGCGGGUGUAGAGUAUGCCUUUUCCUGCUGUACCCGGCAGGCUUGAGCAGAAAGCACUUUGUCUUGGUGUGACAGUCUGUGGCAUCAUUAACCAGCAGGGGUGUGUGUGUGUACCCGCGUGCACGCAGGCAUGAGCUUGGUG